rnacentral:rRNA from 1 species
GCGGCGGACGGGUGAGUAACACGUGGGUAACCUGCCUGUAAGAGUGGGAGAACUCCGGGAAACCGGAGCUAAUACCGGAUAGUUCCUUGAACCGCAUGGUUCAAGGAUGAAAGACGGUUUCGGCUGUCACUUACAGAUGGACCCGCGGCGCAUUAGCUAGUUGGUGAGGUAACGGCUCACCAAGGCGACGAUGCGUAGCCGACCUGAGAGGGUGAUCGGCCACACUGGGACUGAGACACGGCCCAGACUCCUACGGGAGGCAGCAGUAGGGAAUCUUCCGCAAUGGACGAAAGUCUGACGGAGCAACGCCGCGUGAGUGAUGAAGGUUUUCGGAUCGUAAAGCUCUGUUGUUAGGGAAGAACAAGUGCAAGAGUAACUGCUUGCACCUUGACGGUACCUAACCAGAAAGCCACGGCUAACUACGUGCCA